CUUAAGUUCUAUAAAUUGCAUCCUUCAAAAAAUGGGUUUAUAAAUACGAGUGAUUUUCACUUCCAGAAGGCCAUUAUUUUUCCAGCAUGAAGAAACUUCUGCAAUAUGUAUCAUUUGGCCGCGAGCAGCGUUAUUAAAAUCCAUUUUCUCAUUUGCUCCCACGUCUAUCGUGUUUUCAGCAAUCUGCAAUAGUACAAUGAGCGAAGCCUAUUGUCUUCUAUGAGCUCCUUUUCCUGCCCAAAAAGACACCAGGUGAGCUUGGAACUACAUAGAGAGCACGGCUAGCUGUG